rnacentral:rRNA from 1 species
GAUGAACGCUGGCGGCGUGCCUAAUACAUGCAAGUCGAGCGAAUGGAUUAAGAGCUUGCUCUUAUGAAGUUAGCGGCGGACGGGUGAGUAACACGUGGGUAACCUGCCCAUAAGACUGGGAUAACUCCGGGAAACCGGGGCUAAUACCGGAUAACAUUUUGAACCGCAUGGUUCGAAAUUGAAAGGCGGCUUCGGCUGUCACUUAUGGAUGGACCCGCGUCGCAUUAGCUAGUUGGUGAGGUAACGGCUCACCAAGGCAACGAUGCGUAGCCGACCGGGGAGGGCGAGCGGCCACACUGGGACUGAGACACGGCCCAGACUCCUACGGGAGGCAGCAGUAGGGGAUCUUCCGCAAUGGACGAAAGUCUGACGGAGCAACGCCGCGUGAGUGAUGAAGGCUUUCGGGUCGUAAAACUCUGUUGUUAGGGAAGAACAAGUGCUAGUUGAAUAAGCUGGCACCUUGACGGUACCUAACCAGAAAGCCACGGCUAACUACGUGCCAGCAGCCGCCGUAA